UAUUCAACCUGCCGGUUGCUUAUUUUCCUCUGGCAAACGGAUUUCCGGAUUUCCUCCGCGCUGGGCAUUUCAGCGUUGUCCAUUGAGUCCUAGAAUAGAUCCGCGGAGAAUAAAAAUUAUACUGCGCGACCGUUGAACCCUGAGAGUUGACCCUAUAUGCAGCUGAUUUCGAGCUAUUAUAAAGUGUCCUGUACAGUUAAUUGCCGGAUAAUUAGAAAUCGUAAUUAUGGAGACAACGGAGUGGCAGUAUUCGGACAUCGUCGGUAAUGCGAUUUCAUGUACGUUACGGUGUCGGCACAAAGCUUAGUCUUUCAAAUCUGCACACUUCAUCUCACCGAAACGCCGACAUCCUAG